rnacentral:misc_RNA from 1 species
GAUGAAGAACGCAGCAAAAUGCGAUAAGUAAUGUGAAUUGCAGAAUUCAGUGAAUCAUCGAAUCUUUGAACGCACAUUGCGCCCGCUGGUAUUCCGGCGGGCAUGCCUGUUCGAGCGUCAUUUCAACCCUCAAGCCCCCGGGUUUGGUGUUGGGGAUCGGCUCUGCCCUUCUGGGCGGUGCCGCCCCCGAAAUACAUUGGCGGUCUCGCUGCAGCCUCCAUUGCGUAGUAGCUAACACCUCGCAACUGGAACGCGGCGCGGCCAUGCCGUAAAACCCCAACUUCUGAAUGGUGACCUCGGAUCAGGUAGGAAUACCCGCUGAACUUAAGCAUAUCAAUAAGCGGAGGA